ensembl:lncRNA
CUCAGACUUCAUUCAAAAUGUGGGUGUUUGAUGGAGAGUUGCGGUUAGUGAGAGUUUGGAGACAGUUUGGAGGUUUAUGAGAGUGAGGAGAGAAAGUCAGGAGAGAAUGGAGCCAGCUAAGAAGAGGAGGAUGUCCUCCCCUGUGUGGGAACAUUUUGAUCUUAUUCCUCCCAACAAGGUGAAGUGUUUGCUAUGUGCCAGGGAGCUGGGAUAUAACAACAACACCUCAUCCAUGCUUAGGCACUACAGAGCUUUGCAUGAGAAUAAGGGGAACACCGAUUGUGGAGCAAGACCAGGAGAACAAUCUCCAAUAGAUGAAGACCUGGUUACCAUGGUGAUUGAGGACUCCCAGCCAUUUAGCAUUGUGGAGGACAAAGGAUUCAAAAGAUUUGUUAAAUCAUUAAAUCCUAGCUAUGUUCUCCCCACUAAAAAGGUCAUAAAAGCAGUGAAAAUUUAGUUUUUACAGAAUAAAAUGUGAACAGGCAGGACUGAGGCUCA